AUUCUGCAUCCCUUAUGAUUGAGACUUCCUGCAGGAUGGCUAGCUAAAGCUGCAGAAACAAGUGAUUCAUAUGUUCAUGGAAGCUAUCAUAUUUAUGCUGUAUUGGUUGGUUUAUUUUCAUCAAUAACUGGUGGAAUCAGCUACUGCCUUACAAGGGCUGGAGCAAAGGCAUCUGAUCAACCAGUGGUCACAGUUUUUUCAUUUGGAGUGCUUGCUAGCCCUGCUUCAAUAAUAUGUACAUUUGCUUUUGAGGUAAGUUCAUGCUAUGGCCAAUCUAAUUUUAUUAAA